UGGGGAAUUGUUCGCAAUGGGCGCAAGCCUGACGACGCAACGCCGCGUGGAGGAUGAAGAUCUUCGGGUCGUAAACUCCUUUCGAUCGAGACGAAUUCUUCGGGGGUGAACAAUCUCCGGAGGUGACGGUACCGAGAGAAGAAGCCCCGGCUAACUCCGUGCCAGCAGCCGCGGUAAUACGGGGGGGGCAAGCGUUGUUCGGAAUUACUGGGCGUAAAGGGCUCGUAGGCGGCCGACCCAGUCGGACGUGAAAUCCCUCGGCUUAACCGGGGAAUGGCGUCCGAUACUAGUCGGCUUGAGUGUGGGAGAGGGAUGCGGAAUUCCAGGUGUAGCGGUGAAAUGCGUAGAUAUCUGGAGGAACACCGGUGGCGAAGGCGGCAUCCUGGACUACUACUGACGCUGAGGAGCGAAAGCCAGGGGAGCAAACGGGAUUAGAUACCCCUGUAGUCC
rnacentral:rRNA from 1 species